GACACCGCGACCAAACUCACAUCAGGAAAAAUCUGAAAGCAGGAAGCCAGCGCUGUCCUACCACAGCGGGACUGACUGGGGAGGUGAAAAGAUGAAGUGCCUGCGGACACUCCAGGACCUGGGUUGCCUACCCCUGCCCUAGAGCCCACUGCAUGCUGUGACAUGGGCCUGGAUGGGGACAUCUUCAAGCUGCCUGACUGAAAACUGUGGCCUUCAAUGGUACCGGAAGCAAGGGCUUUACCUGGGAGUAGAGCAACAGUCUCUCUCUCCAUUCUGUCAACAUGUAUUCUAUGUAAAUUCAUACAAACUGCUAUGGACGCAAUCACUGACUUAUAUUCACUUUGUCUACUUGUCCCAUUCUUCAAUCUUGUCUGGGAUAUAUAUUUUAGUUGACAUGCCUGUGUGAUGUAUCUGAUAUACAUUAAUAAAAAUUUAUUCAGCCUGGAAA